AUUGAACGCUGGCGGCAGGCUUAACACAUGCAAGUCGAGCGGAGAUGAGGUGCUCGCACCUUAUCUUAGCGGCGGACGGGUGAGUAAUGCUUAGGAAUCUGCCUAUUAGUGGGGGACAACAUUCCGAAAGGAAUGCUAAUACCGCAUACGUCCUACGGGAGAAAGCAGGGGAUCUUCGGACCUUGCGCUAAUAGAUGAGCCUAAGUCGGAUUAGCUAGUUGGAGGGGGAAAGGCAUACCAAGGCGACGAUCUGUAGCGGGUCUGAGAGGAUGAUCCGCCACACUGGGACUGAGACACGGCCCAGACUCCUACGGGAGGCAGCAGUGGGGAAUAUUGGACAAUGGGGGGAACCCUGAUCCAGCCAUGCCGCGUGUGUGAAUAAGGCCUUAUGGUUGUAAAGCACUUUAAGCGAGGAGGAGGCUACUGAGACUAAUACUCUUGGAUAGUGGACGUUACUCGCAGAAUAAGCACCGGCUAACUCUGUGCCAGCCGCCGCGGUAA
rnacentral:rRNA from 1 species